UUCCCAACCCGCCUAUCGUCUCGCACGCAUUCGCCCCCUCCUCUCUUCACACCCACCUCCUCUCUGCAGCAGGGGGAGAGAAAUCCCUGGGUCAUCGACGACCGCAGCCGGCAAGAGAACAAACGGCGGCGACGAAUCACGGGGGGCAGCCCGCUCAGGCGAGACCACAUCGCUCCGCGCGGAGGCGAAGCACCGCCAGUUUCGAUUGAGAGGGCGACCGCACGGCCAGUGAAAGGGAGGGAGAAGGUACAGGCGGACAAAUCGGCGACGCGAAGACGAUGAGGGCGCGGCGAGCUGCUUCGUCCCCGUGGGGAAGAGAGUACGUUUGCUGUUUUUUGGUGUAUCUACAUGCAGGCUUUUUGAGCAACAGAAAUAGUGAAAACUAGGCAAGGACAACUUUCCCACCAUCCCUGGCAUGGCAGUUUUUAAGAUGGAGGACUCCCCAGAUCAAUACGAUGGCAAGGCAAGGGGCAAGACAAUAGGCAAGAUAGUAAACAAGACAAUUCAGGAUCAUAGCAACUUCCACUAGCAUCCAGAUUCAGCUGGAGGAGGGGGAGGCAAGAAAUAGGGGGGGCAUGAAUUUGUGCGAGAAAUCCCAAGUCAAGUUUCGCAACACGCUGUACAGGACACAUUUUAGGAAACUAGUAUGUCCAUUUCACGGGGAGGCACAGAGGGUCUACCAGAUCAAGACUAACAGGAUCAUGCCUUUUGUUUUUGCCAAAAGGAUAGGAGGCCCUUUACCUUGGUGUUUUUACUGGGGAGAAAAAUUUGCCCAGUCUCUAUCAAAUUCUUGCCGAUGUUUUUCCA